AUUGAACGCUGGCGGCGUGCCUAACACAUGCAAGUCGAGCGGUAACAGGUGUAGCAAUACAUGCUGACGAGCGGCGGACGGGUGAGUAACGCUUGGGAAUCUGCCUGUUAGUGGGGGACAACCCGGGGAAACUCGGGCUAAUACCGCAUACGCACUACGGUGGAAAGCCGGGGACCGCAAGGCCUGGCGCUAACAGAUGAGCCCAAGUCGGAUUAGCUAGUUGGUAGGGUAACGGCCUACCAAGGCGACGAUCCGUAACUGGUCUGAGAGGACGACCAGUCACACCGGAACUGAGACACGGUCCGGACUCCUACGGGAGGCAGCAGUGGAGAAUAUUGGACAAUGGGCGAAAGCCUGAUCCAGCGACGCCGCGUGAGUGAAGAGGGCCUGC
rnacentral:rRNA from 1 species